rnacentral:rRNA from 1 species
UACGAGGGGGGCGAGCGUUGUUCGGAAUUAUUGGGCGUAAAGGGCGCGUAGGCGGUGCGGUAAGUCACCUGUGAAACCUCUGGGCUCAACUCAGAGCCUGCAGGCGAAACUGCCGUGCUGGAGUGUGGGAGAGGUGCGUGGAAUUCCCGGUGUAGCGGUGAAAUGCGUAGAUAUCUGGAGGAACACCGGUGGCGAAGGCGGCAUCCUGGACCGGCAUUGACGCUGAGGCGCGAAAGCCAGGGGAGCAAACGGG